ACGGGGUGCAGCAGGCGCGAAAACUUUACAAUGCGGGAAACUGCGAUAAGGGGACACUGAGUGCCAGCAUAUUAUGUUGGCUGUCCACAUGUAUAAAAACCAUGUGUUAGCAAGGGCCGGGCAAGACCGGUGCCAGCCGCCGCGGUAACACCGGCGGCCCGAGUGGUGAUCACUUUUAUUGGGUCUAAAGGGUCCGUAGCCGGUUUAAUCAGUCUUCUGGGAAAUCUGACAGCUCAACUGUUAGGCUUUCAGGGGAUACUGUUAGACUUGGGACCGGGAGAGGUAAGAGGUACUACAGGGGUAGGAGUGAAAUCUUGUAAUCCCUGUGGGACCACCAGUGGCGAAGGCGUCUUACCAGAACGGGUCCGACGGUGAGGGACGAAAGCUGGGGGCACGAACCGGAUUAGAUACCCGGGUAGUCCCAGCCGUAAACGAUGCUCGCUAGGUGUCAGGGACGGUGCGACCGUUUCUGGUGCCGCAGGAAGCCGUGAAGCGAGCCACCUGGAAGUACGCCGCAAGGCU
rnacentral:rRNA from 1 species